rnacentral:lncRNA from 1 species
CCCAGUGUUCCUGGGCCCUAGCUUUCGUGUUCUUCCCCCGCAAAAAUUAUCAAAUGCCGGCCAACAGUCUAGGGUUGUAGGCCAUCAAAAGAUUAUAUCUAUAACAAGACAUUAUUUACACUAUGGCCCUGGAAAGGUUAAGAAGUUUGUUACAGGCACAAGUGCCAUAUUUACAAAUGUUAAUGUAAACAUUAUUCUGGCCAGAUCAAGUUUUGUUUGAAAACAAGCAUUAGAAAUUUCUUAUAUUACCCCAAACAAUUUUUGGUUUGUGAAUUGAAUAUUUUUACUUUAAUAAAAAACAUCUUAGGUUUUAAGAAUUCUGCAUGAUAUCAGAACUAAAAUUCACUCUAUAUUUAUUGAUACAUUAAAAAAAAACAACAAACAAAUUAUAGAGGCAAAACAUCCAGGAAAGGUCAAAAUUUUUUUGAAAACAAGCCAGAAAAAAAAUUAAACAAGUCCAAACCUCAGUUUAUGAAUAAAACGCUUUGAUCUUUACAAACAAUCUAACGACUUAAAAUUGUUGAUAUUUUAAUUGCAAAUGGUUUUCAUUUUUUUCAUGAUCCUUAAAAAAAUAUACGCAAAUUCAUUUAAAUUUGAUAGCAAAAACCCCCAAUAGAUUUUGGUUAACCUUUGUGUGAAUAAAAAGUUUUGCAAAUUACGGUUGGCUGUUGCAUAAUAGUUUCAGCCACAAAUUAAAAAAACUUGUUUCGUAAAUAUAAAACAAUGCCGUUCAUUUGCCAAAACCUCUGCCACUUUUGGGGUUUUCGAAUGCAAUCUAAUGACUUUACACCGUGGAAAAAUGCCAUUUCUGAUCGAUUUCACACGCGUUCCCAGAACACCUAAUUGCCCACGUUCUAAUUCGCUUGGAACGUUCGAAUUGCAGUUUCGAACGUUCGAAUUCUCGUUUAGAACGUUGCAAAAAAAUUCCGAGUUUUUAAACCGUGAAACACCGCGCAAUAUUAAUGCGGCAAAAAUAUAUGAAAAACUAAUUGCCUUAAUGAAAUUCAGCCGUUGUGAUAUAGUCUGGCUAGCCGGCGAUCUUUCGUUGCAAAAUGCAAAGGGUAUCGCAUUGACUUUCAGGCCAUAAAUGGUCUAUCUAUCUGCUUGUUCGAUUUCGCUUCGAACGCUGCGAAAAAUAACAAUUAACGCUCGAAAGAAUGCUGCGAGUUAUUCUAAUGAAUUUCAAUGGCUUUCUGUGUGAAAUCGACAAGCGAAAAGCGAAAUAAUUGCAACAAAGCCUUAAUGAAUGCAAUGCUAUGGUGAUUAAUAGCGAAUGCAAGGUCAUUUCGGAUUCGUAAUGCGUCUAAUGAAUCAAAGCGCUGUUUUGCAAAGCUUUAUUUACUGUGUGCAAACGAAAUCUCGCUUUUUCGCUGCGCUGGACCUCAGAACGAUCGAUUAAAAACGACAAUAUAAGUUGCGAGCCACGGAAGUUCCAUAUUUAAUUGCGUAUUAAUAUUAAGUAUCGUCGAUUUGCUAUUUUCCGUGCAAUUGCACGGCAUUUAAAGACCAAAACUCGCGGUUUUAAAAAAUUUCAUGUCCGCCAGGGAAAAGCCAUUUGAGUGCAAACUAAAAAUCGUUCUAAAAUAUUCUGCAAUAUAAUUUGCAACAUUCGCACGCCAUCUGCAAGCGAACGGCGUUUUUAUAUUAACGCGUAUAUAAAAUUGAAAAAUUUCCAUCAAAGCCUCAGAUAUGCAGGUGAUAUUAACAAUAAAAUUGCAAAUGAGUUAUGUACAACAGCGCUUUGGAGAAAAUAAGAUAUAUAAAACACAAAAAUUGCAUUUUAUGCCCGUGUGUUCCACAUUCCGAAAUUGCGACAAAUGAAUGUCUCUGAACUAAAGAAUGUAGCAAAUAUGAGGUCUAAUUGAUGUUUUGGUCUGUUGCAUACGAUAAAAAUACAGGAUUUUUAGAAAAUACUUUGAUUUAAGAGUAUGUUUGAUCAAGCUGAAAUCGGGCAAACUGUUCAUAGUGUAUUUAUUUAGGUUUUUACAUAAAAUCGCGUGCACAAUUCCACGUCAAAAAUUUUUUUUUCACUUGAUUCGCAUCGAUUCGCAAUCCGUGUCAAAUUU